rnacentral:rRNA from 1 species
GCUCUCAAGAAGUUAGCGGCGGACGGGUGAGUAACACGUGGGUAACCUGCCCAUAAGACUGGGAUAACUCCGGGAAACCGGGGCUAAUACCGGAUAACAUUUUGAACUGCAUGGUUCGAAAUUGAAAGGCGGCUUCGGCUGUCACUUAUGGAUGGACCCGCGUCGCAUUAGCUAGUUGGUGAGGUAACGGCUCACCAAGGCAACGAUGCGUAGCCGACCUGAGAGGGUGAUCGGCCACACUGGGACUGAGACACGGCCCAGACUCCUACGGGAGGCAGCAGUAGGGAAUCUUCCGCAAUGGACGAAAGUCUGACGGAGCAACGCCGCGUGAGUGAUGAAGGCUUUCGGGUCGUAAAACUCUGUUGUUAGGGAAGAACAAGUGCUAGUUGAAUAAGCUGGCACCUUGACGGUACCUAACCAGAAAGCCACGGCUAACUACGUGCCAGCAGCCGCGGUAAUACGUAGGUGGCAAGCGUUAUCCGGAAUUAUUGGGCGUAAAGCGCGCGCAGGUGGUUUCUU